rnacentral:piRNA from 2 species
UGGUUUUGAGAAGGAACCGGCCUCA